CAUAUCAAUAAGCGGAGGAAAAGAAACCAACAGGGAUUGCCCUAGUAACGGCGAGUGAAGCGGCAAUAGCUCAAAUUUGAAAUCUGGCCCUCGUGGUCCGAGUUGUAAUUUGUAGAGGAUGCUUUUGGUGCGGUGCCUUCCGAGUUCCCUGGAACGGGACGCCAGAGAGGGUGAGAGCCCCGUACGGUUGGACGCCUACCCUAUAUAUAGCUCCUUCGACGAGUCGAGUAGUUUGGGAAUGCUGCUCUAAAUGGGAGGUAAAUUUCUUCUAAAGCUAAAUACCGGCCAGAGACCGAUAGCGCACAAGUAGAGUGAUCGAAAGAUGAAAAGCACUUUGAAAAGAGGGUUAAAUAGCACGUGAAAUUGUUGAAAGGGAAGCGUUUGCGACCAGACCUUUUCCGGGGGGAUCAUCCGGUGUUCGCACCGGUGCACUUCCUUUGGUUUAGGCCAGCAUCGGUUUUCCUAGGGGGAUAAAGGCUUGGGGAACGUAGCUCUUUAGGGAGUGUUAUAGCCCCUUGCGUAAUACCC
rnacentral:rRNA from 1 species